UCAGAUUUUUUUUUUUUUUUUAAUAUAUUUUGGCCCCUCUUUUCCUUUCUCCGCCAUCGUGGUGUGUUCUUGCCUCCGCUUCUCGCCAUGUCUUCUCUCAAGACUUUCAAGAUUAAGCAAUUCCUGGCCCAGAAACAAAAGCAAAAUCGUCCCAUUCCCCAGUGGAUUCAGAUGAAAACUGGAGAUAAAAUCAGGUACAACUCCAAAGGAGACAUUGGAGAAGAACCAAGCUGGGUCUAUAAGGAAUUGCACAUGAGAUGGCACACAUAUUUGUGCUGUCUGAAGGUCACGAUCACAUUACCAUAUCAAACUGAAAAUGUCACCACUCUCUGGAGAGUUCGACGUGUUUUCCUCUCUGAAUCUAUUGUGAAUGCGUUGGUUGACUGGGUUCAGUAAUAAAUAUGUGAGGCCUUUCAUUUAAAAAAUAUAUAUAGAGAGAGAGAGAGGAAUAAUUCUAGAUUUACAGAAAAGACAUGAAGAUAGUAUGGAGAAUUCCCAUAUACCCCACACCCUGUUUCCCUGUUUCUGAUAUCUUACAUUUGUAUGGUACAUUUGUCAUAAUUAAUGAGCCCAAAUAGUGUGUUACUAUUAAAGUUCAUACUUUAUUCA